rnacentral:misc_RNA from 1 species
GAACGCAACUUGCGCCCUCUGGUAUUCCGGAGGGCAUGCCUGUUUGAGUGUCGUGAACACCUCAACCCUCUAAUGUUUUUGCAUUGAAGGCGUUGGUAGUGAGCGCUGCCGGUCUUUGGGUCGGCUCGCUUUAAAAUAAUUAGCUGGAUCCAUUCUGACCUGGUUCUACUCGGCGUAAUAAGUUAUUAUCGUCGAGGACGCCUAGCCUUCUAGGCAGGCGGCCACAGUAAGGGUGUUUGAACCGCUUCCAACACGUCUUGCUCUUGUAGCAAACACUUGAACCUCUGACCUCAAAUCAGGCAGGACUACCCGCUGAACUUA